rnacentral:pre_miRNA from 1 species
CCGAGACGGGCGGAUCACGAGGUCAGGAGAUCGAGACCAUCCUGGCUAACNGUUAGCCAGGAUGGUCUCGAUCUCCUGACCUCGUGAUCCGCCCGUCUCGG